AUACCAUGCUGACUGGAGGUUUUCUGCUUGCUGGCUUUCAGAGCGCCAGAGGCUCUGCAGCCUGUGGGGAGGAAAGUCAUCUGUGAGUCCUGCAGGCUGACCUGACAAUCAGAAUGUCCUCACUGGUGCAAAGGUGGGGUGAUAAUUAUGGGGGGUAACCAUGGUUAUGGGUGGUACCCAGCUGCCUUGUGAUAGUAUCUAGGCACAGAACUCUAGCCUAGUUCUGUAAACUUCCUGGUCAAAAGCCCAUGGCUGGGAAAUCACAGGCCACAGAGGGGAAUCCCACAGUGUUAAACUGUUAUCUAAGUGUUUAUGUUGAUACAUGUUGGUAAAUCUUGCUCUCAGCUUCUGUCAGAGAAGCUGCUGGUGAUUGUGGGCAAUUGCCAACACAGAGACUCAGAACUGGUCCAAGUGCUAAGAAUAAUUGACUGUGGAGUCUUCAUCCCUGAAAAGGUCGACUACCACACCCUUCUGUGGCAGUAGAAAGAACACAAAAACCAGAGGAUGGAGAGGAACAGUGUGUGACACGCAAUGUUGAAUGUGUGACCUUGCAGCAUCUGUGGCUACCACACAAGACCUUUUCAAGAUGGGAUGCAUCAACCUUCCACAGUGGAUGAAAAAGAGGCUUAUGAGGUCUCUCUUCUCCACGAGGAACUGUGGACAGCCAUGAUCCACUCCACCUUCCCCCAGGCCCCA
rnacentral:lncRNA from 1 species